rnacentral:rRNA from 1 species
UAGUGGGUUCCCGCAAAACUUGGCACCUUGCUCUCUGGGUGGCGAGUGGGGGACGGGUGAGGAAUACAUCGGAAUCUACUCUGUCGUGGGGGAUAACGUAGGGAAACUUACGCUAAUACCGCAUACGACCUACGGGUGAAAGCAGGGGACCUUCUGGCCUUGCGCGAUUGAAUGAGCCGAUGUCGGAUUAGCUAGUUGGCGGGGUAAAGGCCCACCAAGGCAACGAUCCGUAGCUGGUCUGAGAGGAUGAUCACCCACACUGGAACUGAGACACGGUCCUCACUCCUACGGGAGGCAGCAGUGGGGAAUAUUGGACAAUGGGCGCAAGCCUGAUCCACCCAUACCGCGUGGGUGAAGAAGGCCUUCGGGUUGUAAAGCCCUUUUGUUGGGAAAGAAAUCCAGCUGGCUAAUACCCGGUUGGGAUGACGGUACCCAAAGAAUAAGCACCGGCUAACUUCGUGCCAGCAGCCGCGGUAAUACUAAGGGUGCAAGCGUUACUCGGAAUUACUGGGCGUAAAGCGUGCGUAAGUGCUUAUUUAACUCCCCUUGUGACACCCCUGGGCUCAACCUGGGAACUGCAUUGGAUACUGGAAUGACUACACUGGGGUAAAGGGUAACGGAAUUCCUGGUGUGGGGUGAAUUCGGAAGAUCAGGAGAACAC